AAUGAACGCUGGCGGCAUGCCUUACACAUGCAAGUCGAACGGCAGCAUGACCUAGCUUGCUUGGUUGAUUGCGAGUGUCGAACGGGUGUGUCAUGCAUCGGAACGUCCCUUUUAGUGGGGGAUAACGUAGCGAAAGUUACGCUAAUACCGCAUAUUCUCUGCGGCGGAAAGCCGGGGCCCUUCGGGCCUCGCGCUAGAAGAGCGGCCGAUGUCGGAGUAGCCAGUCGGUGAGGUAAAGGCUCACUAAGGCAACGAUCCGUAACGGGUCUGAGAGGAUGAUCGGCAACACUGGGACGAGGACACGGCCCAGAAUCCUACGGGAGGCAGCAGGGGGGAAUGUUGGACAGGGGGCGCAAGCCUGAUCCAGCAAUGCCGCGUGAGUGAAGAAGGCCUUCGGGUUGUAAAGCUGUUGCGGCUGGGAAGAAAGCGAACCCCCUAAUACAGGGGGUGGAUGACGGUAACAGCAUAAGAAGCACCGGCUAACUACGUG
rnacentral:rRNA from 1 species